UGACCCGACUUCAACUUUUUUCACUUCCCUUAGAAACCCUAAUUUUUAUCUCCAUCCUUCUGGCCGUUCAUUCUCGCAAGGAAUCAAGACUUCAUAAUCACCAAGAACCGCAUCCACAAUCAACAUAAUAUGAAUUUUGUUGUUUUUCGAAUGGGGGGUUUUGAUAGGAAGAGAGAGAGAGAGAGAGAAAGGCGGUGUCGAAGGCACGGUGCCGGCCUUUCUUCUCAACUCUGCUAGGUUUCCGGCACUAUGUCAGAUUUGUCACUUUGUUCCGAUCACCCGAAGACAAGUAAUCGCUAGGGUUGGGUUCCGGCACUGUGUUCAGAUCCUCAACUAUCUAGGGUUUCGGCAAACUAAAUUUGUGGCAGUGCCGACUUUGGUAUCGAUCUUGCGUUUCCAAAUCGAGUUUGGUUCAUGCUUAAAACCAGUGAGGUCGCUUGAUGGAGAAUGGAAGGUUACGCUUGGAGGGCCAAUAAUAAAACCCAAAGAAAGCUCAUUUAUAGAGCUAAAAGGUUUCAAAGCUGAUCAUUUUACAACACAAAUUGUUUAUGUUAUCAUCUUGAAGCAACUAAAUCUGUUGUGUAAAGGAUUAUGGAUAGGAUUUCAAGGGGAGAAAUCCACAUCUUGAAGCAACUAGAAUGGAAGGUUACGCUUGGAGGGCCAAUAAUAAAACCCAAAGAAAGCUCAUUUAUAGAGCUAAAAGGUUUCAAAGCUGAUCAUUUUACAACACAAAUUGUUUAUGUUAUCAUCUUGAAGCAACUAAAUCUGUUGUGUAAAGGAUUAUGGAUAGGGGUGUAAACGAGCCGGCCCGAGCCUGACUUAAUUGAACUUUAUAUUGAGUCUAAAAUAUGGGGUGAUAGCCAUCGGUAUAGAGGAUCUGGUGAGUACAUUCAGGUGGGUAUCAUAACACUAUAACAUUCGAGGGUUGCAAGUUGUUAGCAGGCUGAGUAGAGAAUUAAGUAAUGUUAAAAAAGCCGCUGGAAUGGAUUCCGAUGUGUGAAGUGGGUAUGUGACAAAAUUUGAAAUGGGGCUGCAAAAGAUUAGAAUAUCAGGUUUUGAGAAGCCUGAUAUGCAAGGAAUCACCGCAUAUAUUGUCUAAUAUUACUCAAUAACAUAUAUUGUCUUCUCUAUAUUACUCUUAUACAUUUUUUUUAUUCAAUAGUUUGUUACUAAUUCGUCUAAAUUCGUACAGGAUGAAGUUGUAAAGGUAUCACCGCACGCUCGGGCAAUUAGGGAUGUAGAAGACGAAGAAUUACGAAGCUUUUUCUAUGGAAUGUCUCCAUGGCAGUUUAUGCUUAUGGUUGCUGCAAGCUCUGUUGGCGAGGAGCUUUUCUACCGAGUUGUCGUUCAGGGAGCGUUCUCAGAUGUUUUUCUAAGAAGCACUGAGUUAGUAAAAAAUGCACGCGGAAUGGCCUCACUGCAUGAAUUGACACGUGAGUUUUCCGAUAACGGGUUCGGUUGCGAAAAAUUGUGAAAUGAAACAAAGAUGUAAGGUUUUUCAUUCAGUUGAUGCAAGUAGAAGUGAAGAUGGGACCCAUAAAAUGGUGAACAUAUCAUAUAUGCCAGAAAGUGGUCUCUUAUUGCCAACCUGUCUGCUGCCAACUGCUACAAGUCAGAGCACUUAAAGCGUCUGGAGAACUGGGCACUCGUUGAAAAGGCCAAAUACAUCUAUAUUGCUGGCUUUUUCCUCACGGUGUCUCCUGAAUGUGAUCUUGAACCUGUAGCAUACGAGUUUUUCACCCAAGCAUGUAUAUUGUAUGAAGAAUAAAUUCGGAUUCGAAGGCAAUGCUAACCACACUAUAACUUAUCAUAGUGACUCUGCAACGGAUGUACACGUUUGGUGUCGGGAAAGGGGAUACUUUGACCCACAAGGCCAUAUUAUGGUAGUAUUAUGCAAAACUCUUGAAGAAGCCUGAGUAGUGCUGAACUUUUUAUGCCUGUUCACAUCUGUUCUAGGUUGAGGAUCAAGGAUGGUGAGAGAGUAUUACUCUGUUUGAAGCAUGCCUUAAGAAUCGUAAACGCUGCUCAACAAAUAGCAAAUGGAACAAGAGGUAGCAGCGGGUCAGUCAUCCUCUUUAUCCUCUUUAUCGGGGCUAUGUUUGUAGUUCUUGAAUCUUUUCUUUAUAUUGUAAGUAAUAUAUUAUUAUUAAAAAUAUCAUGUGCAUUGCCUACUUUUAGGAAUGUCAUUAGUGUACAUUUGGUUGUAAGAAGGCUAGAGGAGGUUUGUAUGAGCUUUUUUUUCUAUUAUUAUUUUAGUCCUAUUUUUUGUACUGUAUAUUUACUCUCUAUCUUGUACUGCACGUGAGGAUGAAAUGGGUAUUAGUGAGCAUAAGAUAAAUCCCAACACUUGCUUUACUAGAUAUGUGUAAUAAAAGAGCAAUUUUCCAUGAAGAUGCCAAUGGAGAGCUAAUGAAAGGUAUUUUGAAAAAAAGAGAUUAUGGUCUCAAAAGUAGUGGCUGAAGUCGAAGUUUGAGCAUCUUGUGGAUUAGUAAUAAAGCCAAACAUGUGCAUGAUCGGGGUUUAUGCAAUGUGCAGUAUGUUUUGGUGUUUUCUUAUGUAAUUACCGAAUGUAUUGACCGUUGAGCUUGUAGCUUUUUCCUGUAUCCUCUAAUUUUCUAUUUACAUAUAUAUGAAUUGUCAUUCAAUAAAUAAUUUACGUCUUUUGUUUGGAAAA